rnacentral:tRNA from 1 species
GGAGUGGUACUCAAGCUGGCUGAAGAGGACGGUUUGCUAAAUCGUUAGGGGUCGCAAGGCUCGCCCGAGUUCGAAUCUCGGCCACUCCG